rnacentral:lncRNA from 1 species
AUUUCAUUUCAUAAACUUCUGGGCUUUUACAAUUGGUAUUAGAGUCGCAUUCCUCGGAUCCAUUCCUUGCAUAAAAGAUUAGAAUCAUUCAAUACAACCCAACUCUCAACCUUUGUUGUGAAAUGCAGGUAUAAGGACAUGAGAAGAGGAAGGCCCCCACUAAACAGAGUAGCCCGAGAUAGGUCACUUCAAGAGGAUGUCGAUCGGCUCUUCGAGAUGCUGAAGAGACUCAUCUCUACCUAGCAGGCCAGGGAAGAGAGAAGGGAGCUGUUUGACCCUCCACCACUGCC